GAUGAACGCUGGCGGCGUGCCUAAUACAUGCCAGUCGAGCGAACGGACGAGAAGCUUGCUUCUCUGAUGUUAGCGGCGGACGGGUGAGUAACACGUGGAUAACCUACCUAUAAGACUGGGAUAACUUCGGGAAACCGGAGCUAAUACCGGAUAAUAUUUUGAACCGCAUGGUUCAAAAGUGAAAGACGGUCUUGCUGUCACUUAUAGAUGGAUCCGCGCUGCAUUAGCUAGUUGGUAAGGUAACGGCUUACCAAAGCAACGAUGCAUAGCCGACCUGAGAGGGUGAUCGGCCACACUGGAACUGAGACACGGUCCAGACUCCUACGGGAGGCAGCAGUAGGGAAUCUUCCGCAAUGGGCGAAAGCCUGACGGAGCAACGCCGCGUGAGUGAUGAAGGUCUUCGGAUCGUAAAACUCUGUUAUUAGGGAAGAACAUAUGUGUAAGUAACUGUGCACAUCUUGACGGUACCUAAUCAGAAAGCCACGGCUAACUACGUG
rnacentral:rRNA from 1 species